ensembl:snRNA U6 U6 spliceosomal RNA
GUGCUCACUUCAGCAGCACAUACACUAAGAUUGGAGUGAUACAGACAAGAUUACCGUGGUCCCUGUGCAAGGGUGACACGCACAUUAUGAAGUGUUCCAUGUUUUU